CCUACGGGUGGCUGCAGUAGGGAAUAUUGGGCAAUGGUCGAAAGACUGACCCAGCCAUGCCGCGUGAAGGAAGACGGCCCUCUGGGUUGUAAACUUCUUUUGUCGGGGAAGAACGGCACUUCUGCGGAAGUGUGUGACGGUACUCGAUGAAUAAGCACCGGCUAACUCCGUGCCAGCAGCCGCGGUAAUACGGAGGGUGCAAGCGUUGUCCGGAUUUAUUGGGUUUAAAGGGUGCGUAGGUGGGUAGAUAAGUCUGGUUUGAAAGUUGGUCGCUU
rnacentral:rRNA from 1 species